CUAUAACACACAAAAGAACGACACCUAGAACCCUAACACCCCAUCAACGCAGUGUUCUUCUUCUCCAAGAAGACACUCGAACCAAGCCCCAAAUCCAGUCCAAAUUCGGGCGAGUGUAUCCCAAAUCCUUAACCCACACGUUCCUCCUUCUCUCCUCAUCACCAUUUCUAAUGAUUUCUAACACCGAAGAUUCUCCAUCGUUGCACUCGCUCGAUUUUGAGAUAAGGCACGCGAUUGGAAGGUCUUAGAGACGAUUCGUUGGAUGAGUGUGAGGCGUUGGAUUGAUUUCACUCAAUACAAGCCCCACAUUCAUCAAGGGGUUCAUUCUCAAAAAGGAACGGGAUUCGAUUUUGAGAGGGGAAGGCUGGUAAAAAAAAUUUGGAGAGAAAAGUUGAAGGGUUUUCUUUAACUUCUGGUUUCUGUUCUCUGAUUUCUUUUCCUUCGUUUAAGAGUUCUUUAAGAGGUUAAGAGAAGCAUACACAUUUUUUAUUUUUCGGAAUCCAAAUUUGAGUUCCAAAGAGAUAAAAAUUGAAGUUCAAGCUUGGUUUUCUACUGUCAUCUUACUGAUUUGCUACUGAACCUCGCUAUGACUCGGAGGCAAAAGGCGCAUUAUUAGAGCUAUAAUUUUUAAAAGAAGGUUGCAACUUCAGGGAAGUUUUGUGAUUAUUCAUAAAAAUCCGAGGUUUCAAGUAUUGAUCCGUGCUCGUGUUAAUAGUGUGCUGUGAUUAUGAUUCAUUGGUCUAUAUUCAUGGAUUGCUCUCAUGUCGAAGGAAUGUUCGUAUAUUCGCGAGUCGAAGACUGUGAUGGAGUUAUUGACUUAAGGGUUCAUCUAGUCCUUCUAUGUUCCUUCCGCUGUACCUUGUUUGAGCCGUAAAGUUCAGGGGGUUAAUUAAUAGUUCUGUAGACUGCUGUACUGGGAAUAUGCUAUUUAAAUCCUAAAAUUCAGUACUGGUAAUUCUUCUUGUAUUCCUAGGAUAACAAUAAUGUCUGGAUUGAAUCUCAGUGAUCCAUGUAGUAUCAUGUUCUGUUUGAUUUUAAAAUCUGACAUUAAUCUGCAUUGGUUUAUAACUCA